UUCUUCCCAUCCCCAUUUUCUUCCAAUCCCCUCCCAAUCUCCCAUCUUAGAACCACAUCGCCACUCGCACGAACCACGCCUCCAUUGACUUGCCCGCGCUCGUCCAUUCUUCCGCCUUGGCAGAGAUUAGACCACGCCUCCAUUGACUUGCUGCUGUGCUGGCGGACGCGCCGCCGUCGACAACGGCGAAUCGCCCGCUCCGCCGCGCCUUCGUCGACUUGCCGUUCCGCCCAUCGGCACUUCGUCUUCUUCGCCGAUGGCUAGUUAGCCGCGCCGCCGCGCACGCUCAGCUCCGCCCCUGGCCUCAGCCGCUUCCUUUCAUUUUUUGUUUGUUGGAAGGAGAGUGCCGGCCUGCUGGGGAUGAUGCCGCGCUGCCAGUCCUCGACUCCGUCAACAACCUGGCGCCAGGGGCGGAGGCAGGGGGAUUUGCGUGCUUUAUCAAGUCUGCUUGCUUGUAGAUUUUGUGUUCAGUUUUCUUUUUUUUUAUUGAUUUUUUCCUCUAUUGUUACCGACGGGGAUCGAGCUCAGAGGUACGAUGCCUUUAGAUGUAAAACGCACAACAUCGAGCAGGAGUGCAUGAUUAAGUUAGCUGAUGGAUAUAGUUGUAAAAAAAGGGCAUAAGGAUGAGUUCAACGGUGGAUGCUGCUGUAAGGAAAGGCUCUGUUGUUUUAACAAGGACAGAAAGUAUAACCGAAUACAUAAACAAGGGUGGACAACCCAGAUCUGGUACUCAAGGACAAUCCGACACUCCAGUGUCAGCUAAUGACAUGUGUUCCCUGGAUGAAUAGCCAUCCCAUGCUCGCCGCUAUCGUGCGCAACUACAGGAUGAAGCAGAUGGACAGAAGAAGAAGAAAGGGCGAGGUGUUGUAAAAGGUGUUAAAGCAGCUCAGAAGCGUUUUGCCAACGGAUCUGCGAAGCUAAAUAUUACAUUCUCUGAAACGUUGGGUGGUACGAUAGGAAUGAACUAUCGCUCAUUCAAGGAUGACGUGGUAGUGAUAACGAAAAGGAAGGUACCACUCAUUGGGGUGAGGAGGUGGUCCGACAUUCACCCAAGUGUGCAUCGACUCAUUGUCGCAGAUGUGAUAGACAGAUGGGACCUAGAAGAUACACCGGAAACUGAAGAGAAAAUUCUCAGAAUUGCGCAAGAGUGAUAUAGAGGCUGGAGAUCAACUCUAAGCUCCACUUACAAGGCAUUCAAAACAGAUGAUGUUAGAUUGGCUAAUGUUCCGGAAGACUUACAACCAGAAGAGUGGGAAUGGAUGAUCAACUACUUCGGCAAUGAUGAAAAAUUCCAGGCACGCAGCCAAGUGAACUCCGAUAAUCGCAAGAAACAGAAAACAAAACAUAGAGUUGGAUCAAAAUCGUACGCCCAACUAAGUUUUGAGAAGAGAAACUUGGAAACUGGAGAAGAACCGGAUUGUGUUGCUCUAUGGGAACUCACACACACGAAGAAUGGAACAUGGUCUAACCCAGAGUCCCAGGAAGUUUAUGACAAAGCACGUGAAGCGGUGCAGAACAAAGAAACUGAAACAAAAGGUCCACUAUCAACUGAGCAGAGAAACAAUGUUUUUCAGACUGCAUAUAAAGACACGAGCUCAAUGCAAGUCAUCGCAGCCUCGUGGCUACGGGUACAUGGCCAAGCCCAAAACUGGUUCUGAAAGGUUUCGGAUGCAGAUUGAGGACCAAGCUCGUGUUGCAGCUGAAACCCUGCAGCGAAACUCCGAGCUCAGCCAGCAUGUUAGCGAAUUAGAAGAACAAUUAGAAGUUGAGCGUGCAAACAUGCAGCAGAGUAUUGACUUCGAGCGCUCUGAGAGAGAGCAACUUGAGGUGAGGUUGCAAGAAGAGCGUGAUGCAAGAGAAAAAAUGGUGGAAGAGGAGCGAAGAUCAAGGCUCGAAUUUGAAAAAAAUAUGAUGGCAAAGUUCCAACAACAGAUGGCUAAAUUUAGCCAACAGAUGGGAAACCAACAGGUGCUUAAGAAGAGGAAUGAAAAAGAAAAUAUUAAUUCAAAUUUGCAAACCACUCUUUUAAAGAGCUCUAGUCCUAACAGAAAUGUAGGAGCAAAGUCAAAUUUGAUUUCUACAAAUUCACUCCUACAAGCUGCAACAUUGAAUUCUCGAAUGUACAAAGCAAUGGACUCAAAGACUUAGCUGGACAGAUUUGCAUGGUAGCAAUGGACUCAACUCGACUCAACUCUGCUGGAUUGCUACAUUUUACAUUAGUUGCAUUUGAUGGAUAUUUGAUAUGAGAAUUAUGAUUUGUAUGAACCUAUAUAUUAUACGCGUGGAUUUGAAUUUUGUAAUUCAAUGGUUGUAUUUUUUUUU